rnacentral:rRNA from 1 species
AGAGUUUGAUCAUGGCUCAGGACGAACGCUGGCGGCGUGCCUAAUACAUGCAAGUCGAGCGGUAAGGCUCCUUCGGGAGUACACGAGCGGCGGACGGCUGAGUAACGCGUAGGAACGUACCCCAAACUGAGGGAUAACUGCUCGAAAGAGUAGCUAAUACCGCAUGUGCUCUACGGAGUAAAGCUACGGCGGUUUGGGAACGGCCUGCGUACGAUUAGAUUGUUGGUGAGGUAAUGGCUCACCAAGUCGACGAUCGUUAGCUGGUCUGAGAGGAUGAUCAGCCAGACUGGGACUGAGAACGGCCCAGACUCCUACGGGAGGCAGCAGUAGGGAAUUUUCCACAAUGGACGAAAGUCUGAUGGAGCAACGCCGCGUGCAGGAUGAAUGCCUUCGGGUUGUAAACUGCUUUUAUCUGUGACGAAUAUGACGGUAGCAGAUGAAUAAGGAUCGGCUAACUCCGUGCCAGCAGCCGCGGUCAUACGGAGGAUCCAAGCGUUAUCCGGAAUUACUGGGCGUAAAGAGUUGCGUAGGUGGCAGAGUAUGUCUGUAGUGAAAGCGUGUGGCUCAACCAUAUACACAUUACAGAAACUGCUCAGCUAGAGGGCGAGAGAGGUUACUAGAAUUCCUAGUGCAGGAGUGAAAUCCGUAGAUAUUAGGAGGAAUACCGAUGGCGUAGGCAGGUAACUGGCUCGUCCCUGACACUAAGGCACGAAAGCGUGGGUAGCAAACGGGAUUAGAUACCCCGGUAGU